rnacentral:rRNA from 1 species
UGCUCCACCGAAAGAAAAGGAGUGGCGAACGGGUGAGUAACACGUGGGUAACCUGCCCAUCAGAAGGGGAUAACACUUGGAAACAGGUGCUAAUACCGUAUAACAAUCGAAACCGCAUGGUUUCGGUUUGAAAGGCGCUUUUGCGUCACUGAUGGAUGGACCCGCGGUGCAUUAGCUAGUUGGUGAGGUAACGGCUCACCAAGGCAACGAUGCAUAGCCGACCUGAGAGGGUGAUCGGCCACAUUGGGACUGAGACACGGCCCAAACUCCUACGGGAGGCAGCAGUAGGGAAUCUUCGGCAAUGGACGCAAGUCUGACCGAGCAACGCCGCGUGAGUGAAGAAGGUUUUCGGAUCGUAAAACUCUGUUGUUAGAGAAGAACAAGGAUGAGAGUAGAAUGUUCAUCCCUUGACGGUAUCUAACCAGAAAGCCACGGCUAACUACGUGCCAGCAGCCGCGGUAAUACGUAGGUGGCAAGCGUUGUCCGGAUUUAUUGGGCGUAAAGCGAGCGCAGGCGGUUUCUUAAGUCUGAUGUGAAAGCCCCCGGCUCAACCGGGGAGGGUCAUUGGAAACUGGGAAACUUGAGUGCAGAAGAGGAGAGUGGAAUUCCAUGUGUAGCGGUGAAAUGCGUAGAUAUAUGGAGGAACACCAGUGGCGAAGGCGGCUCUCUGGUCUGUAACUGACGCUGAGGCUCGAAAGCGUGGGGAGCAAACAGGAUUAGAUACCCUGGUAGUCCACGCCGUAAACGAUGAGUGCUAAGUGUUGGAGGGUUUCCGCCCUUCAGUGCUGCAGCUAACGCAUU